rnacentral:pre_miRNA from 1 species
CUAAACCGCUAGAAGGAGUAGUUAAAAUCCAAACCACGAUUGUUAUUAUCUCUAAUUGUGAUUUGGAUUUUAACUACUCCUUCUAGCGGUUU